AUAUAGAGCUAGGGGAGCCAUAAGCUUUUGGCUGAGAUUGAAAUUUUAAUUUCUAAACCCUUAUUACCUGAUAUGGUUAGUACCAUCGUAGGGAUGCCUUUUGUUUAUGAA
rfam:Clostridium baratii str. Sullivan, complete genome.